UUGAUUACGUCCCUGCCCUUUGUACACACCGCCCGUCGCUGCCCGGGACUGAGCCAUUUCGAGAAACUUGGGGACUGCUGAUCCGGCGGCUUCGGCCUCCGCUUCGGUGGGAACCAAUUUAAUCGCAGUGGCUUGAACCGGGCAAAAGUCGUAACAAGGUAGCUGUAGGUGAACCUGCUGCUGGAUCAUUACACGUACCGUGAUGGUCA
rnacentral:rRNA from 1 species